rnacentral:rRNA from 1 species
AACGAACGCUGGCGGCAGGCUUAACACAUGCAAGUCGAGCGGACCUUUCGGGGUCAGCGGCGGACGGGUGAGUAACGCGUGGGAACGUGCCUUCCGGUUCGGAAUAACCCUGGGAAACUAGGGCUAAUACCGGAUACGCCCUUAUGGGGAAAGGUUUACUGCCGGAAGAUCGGCCCGCGUCUGAUUAGCUAGUUGGUGGGGUAACGGCCUACCAAGGCGACGAUCAGUAGCUGGUCUGAGAGGAUGAUCAGCCACACUGGGACUGAGACACGGCCCAGACUCCUACGGGAGGCAGCAGUGGGGAAUAUUGGACAAUGGGCGCAAGCCUGAUCCAGCCAUGCCGCGUGAGUGAUGAAGGCCUUAGGGUUGUAAAGCUCUUUUAUCCGGGACGAUAAUGACGGUACCGGAGGAAUAAGCCCCGGCUAACUUCGUG